AACGAAAUUUUUCGUGGCAAACGGGUGAGGAACGCGUAAAAACUCUGCCUUUUAGACUAGAAUAAACAUAUUCGAAAAUCUGAAAAUUUUCGAAGAAAAAUAUUAUAUUUGUGUCAAUACUGGAUAAUUUUAUAGAAAGGUCAAUUUUACGAAAGACCGCUAAAAGAUGAAUUUACGUAAGAUUAGGUAGUUGGUAGUGUUAACAGCUUACCAAGCCGAUGAUCUUUAGUUGAUCUGAGAGGAUGAUCAACCACACUGGAACUGAGACAAGGUCCAGGCUAAGUUUUUGGCCAGCAGUGAGGAAUAUUGGACAAUGAACGAAAGUUUGAUCCAGCAAUACUAUGUGAAUGAUGACGGCAGAUCUAUAGAAAUAAUAUUUUAAUUACAAAAUGUAACUUGAUUAAAAUCUUGAUUCUGGUUGUAAAAUUCUUUCGUUGAAAAUGAUAGUGACAUUAUUCAAAGAAGUUUUAGUCCCGGCUAAUCUCGUGCCAGCAGCCGCGGUAAUACGGGAGGGGCAAGCGUUAUCCGAAAUGACUGGGCGUAAAGAGUCCGUAGACUGUACUGUAAGUUAUUUGUUAAAUCCUAAAGCUUAACUUUAGAAUAGCCUAUAAUACUACUUUACUAGAGUUUUAUUCAGAAGAGUAGAAUUCCAUGUUUAGGGAUAAGCCCCGUAGAUAUAUGGAGGAACACCUGUGGCGAAGGCGACUCUUUAGUAAAAACUGACGUUGAGGGACGAAAGUGUAGGGAGCAAACAGGAUUAGAUACCCUGGUAGUCUACACUGUAAAUUCUGAGUGCUGUAAUUCAAUUUAUAUAUGUAGUAUUUUGGAUUUUUUAAGCUAACGCCAUAAGCACUCCGCCUGAGGAGUACGAUCGCAAGGUUGGAACUCAAAAGAAUUGAC
rnacentral:rRNA from 1 species